GAACGAACGCUGGCGGCGUGCCUAACACAUGCAAGUCGAACGUGAUUAGAGAGCUUGCUCUCUAUGAAAGUGGCGCACGGGUGAGUAACGCGUAGAUAAUCUACCUGAUGAUUUGGGAUAACACUUCGAAAGGGGUGCUAAUACCGAAUAAGCCCACGGAGUCCUUGGACACUGCGGGAAAAGGAGGGGACCUUCGGGCCUUCCGUCAUCAGAUGAGUCUGCGUACCAUUAGCUAGUUGGUAGGGUAAAGGCCUACCAAGGCGACGAUGGUUAGCUGGUCUGAGAGGAUGAUCAGCCACACUGGAACUGAGACACGGUCCAGACUCCUACGGGAGGCAGCAGUGGGGAAUUUUGCGCAAUGGGGGAAACCCUGACGCAGCAACGCCGCGUGAGUGAUGAAGGCCCUUGGGUCGUAAAGCUCUGACAGAGGGAAAGAAAUGUGGGUGGCUAAUAUCCAUUCCACUUGACGGUACCCUCAAAGGAAGCACCGGCUAACUCCGUGCCAGCAGCCGCGGUAAUACGGAGGGUGCGAGCGUUGUUCGGAUUUAUUGGGCGUAAAGCGCGUGUAGGCGGUUUUAUAAGUCUGAUGUGAAAGCCCCGGGCUCAACCUGGGAAGUGCAUUGGAUACUGUAAGACUUGAAUACGGGAGAGGGCAGUGGAAUUCCUGGUGUAGGAGUGAAAUCCGUAGAUAUCAGGAGGAACACCGGUGGCGAAGGCGGCUGCCUGGGCCGAUAUUGACGCUGAGACGCGAAAGCGUGGGUAGCAAACAGGAUUAGAUACCCUGGUAGUCCACGCCGUAAACGAUGAGUACUAGGUGUUGCGGGUAUUGACCCCUGCAGUGCCGCAGCUAACGCAUUAAGUACUCCGCCUGGGGAGUACGGUCGCAAGACUAAAACUCAAAG
rnacentral:rRNA from 1 species